rnacentral:lncRNA from 1 species
GAAAAUUUAGUUGAGGAACACUUUGUCUAAGGAAAGAUCUGAUAUUUAAAUUGUCAAUUGAUUCACACCUGUCUUUCUUGGAAGUCUACUCAACGAGCUUUCAACUUAUUUCUCAUCGAACAAAUUAUAUAUGCAAUGUUAAGUUAUUGUGCAAUAUACUCAAUUGGUAUGAAAAUCUGUGAUGAAUUCAUUUUAUUAUGUUGGAUAUGAAUCGACGAAUCUGAACAUGGUAUAAAUCUCGUAGAGAAAUUAUGUGUGGCACUGUAUUAGUGUACAUAUUGAUGUUGAGGGUCUUGUUGUUGGAAGUCAUCUUGAUACUCUAAUAAUUCUCUAGUCUCAAGUAAAAAAUGAUGUGUUAUGUGGUGAGAGUGACAAGAAGUCUUAGUCUAUGUCUAGUUUUGGUCAUAGGUAUUGACGGACUAACCUUGUGGAUGACAUGGUGUAUUGCAUUUGGC